rnacentral:rRNA from 1 species
UGGGGAAUAUUGCACAAUGGGGGAAACCCUGAUGCAGCGACGCCGCGUGAGCGAAGAAGGUUUUCGAAUCGUAAAGCUCUGUCCUAUGAGAAGAUAAUGACGGUAUCAUAGGAGGAAGCCCCGGCUAAAUACGUGCCAGCAGCCGCGGUAAUACGUAUGGGGCGGGCGUUGUCCGGAAUUAUUGGGCGUAAAGGGUACGUAGGCGGUCUAUUAAGUCAGGUGUGAAAGCGUGAGGGUUAACCUCAUUAAGCACUUGAAACUGAUAGACUUGAGUGAAGGAGAGGAAGGUGGAAUUCCUAGUGUAGCGGUGGAAUGCGUAGAUAUUAGGAGGAAUACCGAUGGCGAGGGCGGCUUUCUGGACUUUUACUGACGCUCAGGUACGAAAGCGUGGGGAGCAAACAGG